AAAAAUCAGGUACCCUUUUGGGCUAUAAAUGGUGAGCAACCCACAGCAACACAGCAUGGAUCCGCACUGCAUACUCCGCCCCCAAUGACUAUGCCCUCCCCCAUACCCAAUAGUAUGGCACACACAGAGGACACUAAUAAACAGACAGGGGAAUAGGGGAGUGGAGAGGUAAUUACGUUGGCCGGC